AGUAGUUGUUUGAAAAAAAAAAGGCUUCAAUUCAGUUGCUGUGGGGCCCCGCGCUCCCCGGAGGCUGGGCUGGGGUGUGCGGAGGGCCCCUCGCAGCAUCCGGACGGAGGGUGAGGGUGCAGGGACGGCGCACGCACCUGCCUCGGUGCAGAGCUGUGCACUGGGACCCGUGCGCCCUGGGACCAGGCCCGCAUCUGCGUUCUGCCUGGGUCUCCCCACCUUGACCCCUGCCGGAGAACCCAGUCUUGGGGGAAAUGAGAGGGCAAGGGAACUGGCUUCGAACUCUCACAUCCGUCGACCAGUGGAUCAGGGCAGCUCAGUGAUGGGUUUGGGAAUGUAACCCCCAGGCCCUUCCAGGUGUCAGCUUGUGUGGGCAAAGCUGCUCCAGUAACCUGAGUCUCCAGUGCAUUGCAGACCAAGACACAGUCCCACUGAGAAGGAGGAAUACGGAGCUCCUGCCCCCGUGACUCAUCAUGCAGCUCUUGAAGAAAAGUACAGCUGUUUGUGGAACUAUACAGGAAGCCUGCAUGGAUGGAAGAAAGGACACACACCAACCUGAAGACGACGGUCACCGCUAAGGAGCGACGCGUGGGAAACAGGAAUACACACACAGUCUCAGUGACGUUUCUAUUUCUUUAGGCCAAAUGCUCACAUCUGUUAGGUCUUAUUGGUGGACACAUGGGAAUACUUUACAUUACCUGCUAUUCUCCCUGUGUUUGAAAAUUUUCAUUCUUAGCUUUUAAAUUUUAAGAAAAGAAAAACUUGAAUAGAAAGUUCUGAGUGAAGCGUUGCUUUCUCUACUUUUACUUCAUUGUAAAGUUUGACACAGAAAAGAAUGUUUUCUGAUCUCCAAGUGAGACCAGGAAACUUCUUUUGGGGGAGUAUAUCAAAGCAAGGACAGCCUAACGAGAUGCCAAGCAUAGCAGGUCAAACUGAAGUCUCAUUUUUCUGAAACUCUGGCAACCUUUGAAAGUAUUGUGAUUUCACAGUCCACAAACUUCAAUAUAAAGAUUUUAGCUUCAAAGCCUAAAAACGAUUUUGCUCAAAAAUAUCUAGAACUGAUGACAGUCAAAGAACAAGUAUCCGAGGCUGUCUAAAGAAGUUAUUUAAGCUGACAUGGGUUUUAAGAUUAUAAGUUUUGUAUAUGCUAAUAGAGUUAUAUAUUUCCAUUUCUACUUAUGUUUGAAAAUACAUCUAAAGCACCAUAUGAGGUCAAAUUAGUGAGGAAACCCACCCACCCUUUCUUCCU